rnacentral:rRNA from 1 species
UAGGGAAUCUUCCGCAAUGGACGAAAGUCUGACGGAGCGACGCCGCGUGAGCGAAGAAGGCCUUCGGGUUGUAAAGCUCUGUUGUCAGGGAAGAACAAGUACCGUUCGAACAGGGCGGUACCUUGACGGUACCUGACGAGGAAGCCACGGCUAACUACGUGCCAGCAGCCGCGGUAAUACGUAGGUGGCAAGCGUUGUCCGGAAUUAUUGGGCGUAAAGCGCGCGCAGGCGGUCCCUUAAGUCUGAUGUGAAAGCCCACGGCUUAACCGUGGAGGGUCAUUGGAAACUGGGGGAAUUGAGUGCAGAAGAGGAGAGCGGAAGUCCACGUGUAGCGGUGAAAUGCGUAGAGAUGUGGAGGAACACCAGUGGCGAAGGCGGCUCUCUGGUCUGUAACUGACGCUGAGGCGCGAAAGCGUGGGGAGCAAACAGG